CAAAAGGAGGAGUCUCCUACCGUGGUAGCAGGUCCGCCUGGCUACUCGAUAACACGGCCCCCUCCGGGGGGUGUCCCCCACCCUUGUGGAUUUAUACCUUUGUUGCUUUGGCAGGCCGCGUCUAGCCACCGGCGUUCGCUGGUGAGUGCCUGCCAGAGGCCCCAACUCUUGAUUUAAUGGCGUCUGAGUCCUAUAUAAUCGUUA
rnacentral:misc_RNA from 1 species